UACGGAGGGUGCAAGCAUUGAUCGGAAUUACUGGGCGUAAAGGGCGCGCAGGCGGAUAGGAAAGUCAGAUGUGAAAUUCCGAGGCUCAACCUCGGAGCUGCAUUUGAAACUUCCCAUCUAGAGUACAGUUAGGGAAAACGGAAUUCCACGUGUAGCGGUGAAAUGCGUAGAUAUGUGGAAGAACACCGGUGGUGAAGACGGUUUUCUGGGCUGAAACUGACGCUGAGGCGCGAAAGCAAGGGGAGCAAACAGG
rnacentral:rRNA from 1 species